ensembl:lncRNA
CAAGAGUUAGGUGUUAGCCAGCUUUAACUGCAAUGGAAAGAUUGCACAAGACUUCUACAUUUUAAACCCGGACUGCUGAAACUAAUAACUGGAUCGCGGUCUUCAAGAACAACAAACUUUGCUUCGCCAGCCCAGAGAGAAACAGUCCCAAUAUCUUCUCUUUGAAGUGCAGGGCACAUCCUCAUUAUGUGCAUCCUGAUACCUGCCACGGCUAAUGAGGAGAGGGACUGGAGCAGCAAAGUUGGAGCGUUUAGAUUAAUGGGAGUUGUACAGCAGUGAAAUUUGGGAAUAGUGUCUACUCUAGUCUCCCGAGCUGUUCAUUACUGUGGAUAUAUGACAUUUUAGAACAGGGAGCUGAGUCGCUGCCUAAUGAUACAGUGGGAUAAACACUGGGGACAGGUUGGCUCGGUCAGAACUGGAGGCACCUAUGGAGGUUUCUGCCAGAGGGAACGGCAACAAAGACGGCAUUAAGUAGAGUUGAUCCUGUCCCAUGUUUUUAUUAAUUGAUAAAGAACACAUUUGUACUGUAGAGCAUUAAUUAGAGAGGUACUGAAGAAUAAAAGAUGUCAAGUUAGGAAACCUGUAUAGUCAUAAAAAAUAUAUAUAUUUUGUGAUGAGAACGCAUGCAACUCUUUUUGUUUUAGUAGCUUUUGGGGUCAGUGUUGAAAAGUGUUGAUCAUCUCUGGAACUUAACAGCAUAAACAACAAAUAUCAAAUGGAUAUGAAAUUUUAACUGUAUUGAGUCAUCGAAAUCCAUUUCAAAAUGACUAAACCCAAACCUAUUUUGGUGUCUAAAUAUACUGUUUAAACACAGUAUUUAUCGCAUCAUAAAUGUAAAAAGUCAACAUUCCACCCUUUUAGCAUUGCUG